rnacentral:rRNA from 1 species
AAGCUCGUAGUUGAAUUUCGGGGUUAGUAGGUUGGUCAUGCCUCUGGUAUGUACUGGUCUCACUGAUUCCUCCUUCCUUAUGAACCGUAAUGCCAUUAAUUUGGUGUUGCGGGGAAUUUGGACUGUUACUUUGAAAAAAUUGAGUGUUUAAAGCAAGCUAACGCUUGAAUACAUUAGCAUGGAAUAAUGAAAUAGGACGUUCGAUCUUAUUUUGUUUGGUUUCUAGGAUUGACGUAAUGAUUAAUAGGAGUAGUUGGGU